rnacentral:rRNA from 1 species
GAUAUUAUUGAUAGCAUUUUGAAUGUACCAUUUCCCUAUGGUUCACUGAAGAUAAGCAAUGCUGUGUGUGGUUAGUAUCUGGAUGGGUUACAAUCUGGACAGUAUCAUGCUAUUGGAUUUU